rnacentral:rRNA from 1 species
AAAAGAACCCCGGUGAGGGGAGUGAAAUAGAACCUGAAACCCUGUACGUACAAGCAGUAGGAGCGAGGGCAACCUUGUGACUGCGUACCUUUUGUAUAAUGGGUCAGCGACUUAUAUUUUGUAGCGAGGUUAACUGAAUAAGGGAGCCGAAGGGAAACCGAGUCUUAACUGGGCGUUGAGUUGCAAGGUAUAGACCCGAAACCCGGUGAUCUAGCCAUGGGCAGGUUGAAGGUUGGGUAACACUAACUGGAGGACCGAACCGACUAAUGUUGAAAAAUUAGCGGAUGACUUGUGGCUGGGGGUGAAAGGCCAAUCAAACCGGGAGAUAGCUGGUUCUCCCCGAAAUCUAUUUAGGUAGAGCCUUGAGCGGACACCUUCGGGGGUAGAGCACUGUUUCGGCUAGGGGUCCAUCCCGGAUUACCAACCCGAUGCAAACUGCGAAUACCGAAGAGUGAUACUCAGGAGACACACGGCGGGUGCUAACGUUCGUCGUGGAGAGGGAAACAACCCAGACCGCCAGCUAAGGUCCCAAAGUCUAUAUUAAGUGGGAAACGAAGUGGGAAGGCUUAGACAGCUAGGAUGUUGGCUUAGAAGCAGCCAUCAUUUAAAGAAAGCGUAAUAGCUCACUAGUCGAGUCGGCCUGCGCGGAAGAUGUAACGGGGCUCAAAUAUAGCACCGAAGCUGCGGCAUCAGAAUUUAUUCUGUUGGGUAGGGGAGCGUUGUGUAAGCGGAUGAAGGUGGCUCGAGAGGGUUGCUGGACGUAUCACAAGUGCGAAUGCUGACAUAAGUAACGAUAAAACGAGUGAAAAACUCGUUCGCCGGAAGACCAAGGGUUCCUGUCCAACGUUAAUCGGGGCAGGGUGAGUCGGCCCCUAAGGCGAGGCUGAAAAGCGUAGUCGAUGGGAAACGGGUUAAUAUUCCCGUACUUGGAUAAACUGCGAUGUGGGGACGGAGAAGGUUAGGUUAGCAGACUGUUGGAUGUCUGUUUAAGGUGGUAGGUGGAAGACUUAGGCAAAUCCGGGUCUUUAUAAACACUGAGAGCUGAUGACGAGGUCUUAAGGGACUGAAGUAACUGAUACCCUGCUUCCAGGAAAAGCCACUAAGCUUCAGGUUUAUCUAAACCGUACUGAAAACCGACACAGGUGGUCAGGUAGAGAAUACUCAGGCGCUUGAGAGAACUCGGGUGAAGGAACUAGGCAAAAUAGCACCGUAACUUCGGGAGAAGGUGCGCUUACAGUAAUUGUAGUCCCUUGCGGAUGAAGGUGAAGUAAGUCGAAGAUACCAGCUGGCUGCAACUGUUUAUUAAAAA